CCUACGGGAGGCUGCAGUGAGGAAUAUUGGUCAAUGGGCGCGAGCCUGAACCAGCCAAGUAGCGUGAAGGAUGACUGCCCUACGGGUUGUAAACUUCUUUUAUAAAGGAAUAAAGUGAGGACGGGGGGCCAUUUUGUAGGUACUUUAGGAAUAAGGAUCGGCUAACUCCGGGCCAGCAGCCGCGGUAAUACGGGGGAUCCGAGCGUUAUCCGGAUUUAUUGGGUUUAAAGGGAGCGUAGAUGGGUUGUUAAAGCAGUUGUGAAAGGUUGCGGCUCAACCGUAAAAUUGCAAUUGAUACUGGCAGCCUUGAGUACAGUUGAGGUAGGCGGAAUUCGUGGUGUAGCGGUGAAAUGCUUAGAUAUCACGAAGAACUCCGAUUGCGAAGGCAGCUUACUAAACUGCCACUGACAUUGAUGCUCGAAAGUGUGGGUAUCAAACAGGAUUAGAUACCCCAGUAGUC
rnacentral:rRNA from 1 species